GCCUGGGUGGCUCAGUGGUUGAGCAUCUGACUUCAGAUCAAGUCAUGAUCUCAUGGUACGUGAGUUCGAGCCCUGCAUCAGGCU
rnacentral:tRNA from 1 species